rnacentral:lncRNA from 1 species
AAAAAAAGUUCAGCACCAUCAGAGGGAAACAAGGCAUACAGAAUUCAUAGAAUGGCUUAGGGCCUUUCCUCCAGGCGGUAAGAGGAUCUGCGUGUGCCCUUCGCAGGGGUCCAAAGAAAAAUAAUAACUGGGGGCUUGGGGAAUACUGACACCCAGAAACUGACUUUCUCUCCAAGAAGUUUCUGCCGCCAUCCCUAUUUUAUCAGCAGGAGGAUCCGGCGCCAUCGUCCCAGUCUUUAUGAUUUUAUUAUGGGGAGGUGGGAAACGCCACCCAGGAUUCCUCCAGGCCUUCCCUCUUAAGGUUGGAGGGGGGGGGGGGGGGCUCCCCCUCAUUCUUUUUCUUUAAACCUCUGUCUUGAAGGUACUCCUCAGCACCCCUCUUUACAGCGGCCUAUCCCCCAGGAUCGGUAAAGGCGCUGUCGAAGCCACCAUCCUCGCCGUUAAGGCGGGAGGGCCCGAGCACGCCAGGGCCACGGCGAUGGCUCUGAGGGGCCCAGAAAGGGGAAGGGCAGGCCAGGGACUAAGGGAGAAUGACCUGACUAAGGAAGAAUGGAAAAAGGAGGUGAGAAGAUGCACUGCACCCCAGGGCUGCACAGAGAAGAGAAGAUGAUGAAGAAGGAGGAGGGCGGUGGCCCGGGUGCGGCCCCCCACCUCUCCCGCCCCCAGGUCCCCGGACCGGCGGGGGCGGAUGGGAUCGGCCCAUUCCCCGGGUCUUAGCUGACAAGGGGGGGUGGUAGGGGGGUGGGGGUGUCUCCCUCCACACUGCGAAGAGACCGAGAACAAGGCAUGGGGUACGCGGGGGGGCUGUCUCCCGCCUGAACCCGGAGACCCGACGCCGUCGUCGCCUCUUCCUCAGAAGGGAGGACGGGAGCUAUGGGUAAAGCCCGAGGGAGAAAUGCAUGAAGGUAAGGGGAAGCCCAGGGCGGAACGGCGGUCCGCUCCAGACCCCACUCUCCACCUUCCGGUAACCGCGUCUCUUACCGGUGAUGGCGGUGAACUGCUGAAUUAACCCCUUCAGCGCCGAGGACGCCGCGGAGCCCCCGUGGGCAGCCAUCUUACCGCCGCCGCCGCUGCCGCCGAACAACAACACAGACACACACGGACCUCCCUCCCCCACCUCGCCGCGCGGUUUGCGCAGGCUCAUUGACCGCCCCCAAACUCCGCCCCUCCCGCCCCGCCCCCCCCGCGGCGGUCAGCGCAGGCGCACUUCCAAGCCCGUCCGGGAGCGCUCUCUGCUCUCCGGGUUGGCUGCCCGGUUGCUGCCUGCUGGCUGCAUCCUUCCUUGCAACCUCUGGUGCCUUCCUCUCCAAGCUCUAAGGCCGGUGUCACAGAUGCGAUAUCUGUUCCUGGUUUCCGAAAUAAGCUGAGGGCUCGGCAGGUAGUAGGCUCUUCGCGUUUCAGUUUCACAAGGUUUAUUGACAGACCCAACUGCCGUUGACAGUUUUUCCUUCUUUUUUUUGCAGCUCUACAGCCCUCUGCUAGGUUUCCUGCAGCUCCUGUCAAAAUACAAAUCCUACCUCAUCGCAUUGAAGCGACUUUCGCACCUGCUCGCCAACCUUUAAACUAAUUGUUUGGCUAACCUGGUGCGACGAUCCAUCCAACAGAAGUAAAAUCCCAGAACCCUUCUGUGCCAAUAAAGCACUGGACCCAACAGUCUGACAUAUAGUAGAUAUAAUAAAUGAUUGUCCAGUCCACUUUCCUUCAAUACGUUCGUCAAUCCAUGCCUCCCCUCAAGAUUUCACUUAGUUUCCUGGCCUAUAAAACGAAGAGGUGUCAUUUAUGUAAAAUAAAACGUGUAUA